rnacentral:rRNA from 1 species
CCUACGGGGGGCUGCAGUCGAGAAUCUUCGGCAAUGGACGAAAGUCUGACCGAGCGACGCCGCGUGCGGGAUGAAGGCCUUCGGGUUGUAAACCGCUGUCAGUUGGGAGGAAAUCACAUGGGGUUCUCUCCAUGUGUUGACCUAUCUUCAGAGGAAGGACGGGCUAAGUUCGUGCCAGCAGCCGCGGUAAGACGAACCGUCCAAACGUUAUUCGGAAUUACUGGGCUUAAAGGGUGCGUAGGCGGCCCUGUAAGUUGGGUGUGAAAUCCCUCGGCUCAACCGAGGAAUUGCGCCCAAUACUGCAGGGCUAGAGGGAGACAGAGGUGAGCGGAACUUGUGGUGGAGCGGUGAAAUGCGUUGAUAUUACAAGGAACACCUGUGGCGAAAGCGGCUCACUGGGUCUCUUCUGACGCUGAGGCACGAAAGCUGGGGGAGCGAACGGGAUUAGAUACCCGUGUAGUC